UACGUAGGGUGCAAGCGUUGUCCGGAAUUAUUGGGCGUAAAGAGCUCGUAGGCGGUCUGUCACGUCGGCUGUGAAAACCCCGAGGCUCAACCUCGGGCCUGCAGUCGAUACGGGCAAACUAGAGUACUGCAGGGGAGGCUGGAAUUCCUGGUGUAGCGGUGAAAUGCGCAGAUAUCAGGAGGAACACCCGGGUGGCGAAGGGCGGGGUCUCUGGGGCAGUAACUGACGCU
rnacentral:rRNA from 1 species